GUGACGUUCAGUGGGUUCAGGGUUUGCAUUUGGCUUGCAGUCAGUUCUCCCUUUAACUAGCCUUUUAACUUGCCUUUUAUUUCAUCUUCUCUGUAACUCCCCUGUGGACAAAAGCGACAAAAUCAAAAAGUGCAAGAAAAGAGUAAAAUCCCUCCUAUAUCACAGGGAGGGUGAUACAUCAUGCAAGGUGGCUGCAGCACUUUGGAACAGCACGUUUUUCACAGUCCCUUCAUGAAAAUGAAGAUUUUUAAUCUCAGCGUUUUGAACAAGAGGAAAGGGUAAAUUUGGAAACAGUCGCCACAGAGCUGGGAAAAUAGGAGCUAAGGAUCAGUAGGAGCUGUAUUUGCUGUAUAAAUUCAGAGCACCCCAAAACCAUUUGCUCAGAAUAUUUCUUUUUUUCAGUCUUAGCUGUUUCUCUGCGCUCACGUGCUUCAAGUUACGGCUGUUUUUGGGCAGCCUCGUAGAUCUGUAGGUUGGGCAAAGAGACUGAACUUGCUAGGAAUGGAAAUAAUGAGCCUGCGAACCCCGACACGCUCUUUAAAAGGAAUGAAAUCUUACUCGCCUCCUAGAUAUCCAAGUAGUCUCCAGUCCGAAUGUUCCACAGCAGUUAAUCACAAGAAUAAUAAUAUUUGUGGUUACUAUGUCUGUAGCGGAGCCACCCUCGAAAGUUUGAGAAGAGACAGGCGCGGAGCGUUGUUUGGACUGACUUUGCUGUAGUUUCUUCUGCACAAACACAAAUCCAUCCCCUUCUGCAGCACAUGCUUGUGGAUGUGCAGAGCCACAGGGCUUUUGCUGAAGGCCAGAUGCUGCUCGGAUUGAAAGAAAAGCUGUUGAAUACUGAAGACCUCAUGCAAGUUUCAAUGGCCAGAGAGCCCAUCAGACCUCCUCCUCUGCUGUUCYUCUGCAAUCCAGACCCACACAAACUGCAAUGGCCCGGCCUGUUCCCGGAGGAAAAGCUCUUUAUUCCAGUGGAGGUAACUUUGUUAACAGAAACCAAACCAAUAGGUGGGAUUUGGAGAUGGUGGUGCCCUCCRAUCGCCACUGAGCUGGAGGUGCACGAGGCUGCUCUCAAAACAGCUUCCAAUUUUGAGCAUUUUGAGCAAGUUUCCAUCCUUGCAGGUCUCGUGUCCUGGAUGGAGGCCCUGCCCUGGCUUAUUCCUCAAAAGGACUUUCCUCUAGCUCUGCUUGAUUCACCUGUAAAGAAAACCAUUAAGGUCAUCACAGCAUAAUCUGUUUAAUUAGAGGUCAUUUUAUUAAUGUGUAUUAAUGGUUCAAGGACCAGGAUCUACGGAUUUAAGGACUCUAAAACAGUUGAAUUGUUUGGAAGGAUGCACUUCCCUAGAAGUAUUUCCUGCUUUCCCUAGGAUACCUAAUUAAUACAUCUGCUGUCUUUAACAGCUUUUCCCACUCAUAACAUUUGCAGAAUUGUAGUAAUAUUCUUGUUUUGCCUGUCCUCAGCAGAAUUCAUUUACUUGCAUCUCAUCAAAUCUGGGCCUUUUAGACUCCCGUGACCUGUUCAAGGUCCAACAUGAUGCAUUAACAGCAAAGGUGGCAAAUUUUGCACACAUUUCCUAGAUUCCCUUUUUUUACUCUUAUUUUGCGAGUUGUGCUAAUGCUCUGAUAAAAACCCAGUUAACUUUGUUAUCUGUUCAAGUGACCCGUCUUUGCUGCAUGUUGAGUGCUUGAUUUCAUCAGCAUCUUAUGACAACUGCCAUACUUUAAUUAAUGAACUAGUUUUUGCUGCCUGUCUCGUUAAGUUUAUGUUUCUGAGAUAUGAGAACAGACAUAUGGCAUAGGCUUUUUCAGUGCU